rnacentral:rRNA from 1 species
UACGUAGGGGGCAAGCGUUGUCCGGAUUAUUGGGCGUAAAGGACUUGUAGGUGGCCACGCCAAGUCGGAUGUGAAAUCUCCCGGCUCAACUGGGAGGGGUCAUUCGAUACUGGUGGGCUCGAGGCCGGUAGGGGGAAGUGGAAUUCCCGGUGUAGUGGUGGAAUGCGUAGAUAUCGGGAGGAACACCAGUGGCGAAGGCGGCUUCCUGGACCGGUUCUGACACUGAGGAGCGAAAGCGUGGGGAGCAAACAGG